UUUUAUGAUGGUAUCCGUCGUUAUCUUAGAUACCUGUGUUUUGGAUGAGGGAUAUGAAAAUGGGACCGAAAAAUACACUUUUUACUUGCCGGUAGUUAGUUUUGGUCAGUUUUACUUUAGGUUCCUAAUUGUACAUGAGCACUUGUAAGCGUCUGAUUGAAGAUGAAUGAAAUACCAAAAAGUGAAACUACGCCUGACAAUUAUUGAACAGUUGUUUUUGUAGAUAAGUAUUAGUGACCGAGUUGGAGAUACAGUUGCAGGUUGCGAUAGUGAAGUACAUAAUUCUGUUUGUUUUCUAAAGUGGUGCGGACUUGGAGAGAGCGGUGUUCUUGCAGUAGAAGAUGGUGUAGAUAGCUGACUGUAGCUGUGCUCGUUCUGAAGUUGUGAAGUGGUGAGAAGUCCUGUUGUAUGAUCUACAUUGCUUGUUGAAGAGGAGCUUUGGGUGUCGCUGCUUGGAGGUCGAAAGACAAUCAACGUCUGAGAGGGAAAUAUGUUGGUGCGCAAUUUAUACAACUUGUUUGAAUGUGGGCUUACAUCAACGACAGCAAGACUUUGCGAUCGACACUCUACUCUGUCAAAUGGAUAUUUAGCUGUGCUGUUUUUCAACAACUCUGCAUGAGCUACAAUAAGAGCUGGAUUGACUCUUACCUUCUUUGCUAUUCGCUUUUCGCUUGAUUUACAAUUUGCUGUGUGGGGGAAGUCAUGUUCAAUGUCAAGUCACUGCUCUCUGCGGAAGCCUUAUGAGAUCAUCCGGGGAUAUCGCCAUAUUGAAAACCCGCCAGAGGUUCGGUCCACGUCCAUGGUGCUCGGGAUGAGUCAUUGGAGGACGAAGAUCGGGUGUCCUUAUGCUGCCAUGAAAUGUCGUUUUUAUGAUGUCCAAUUAUGUUCAAAAAUAAACAACUUGGAGAAUGUG